rnacentral:rRNA from 1 species
CAGUCGCCGCGGUAAUACGUAGGGUGCAAGCGUUAAUCGGAAUUACUGGGCGUAAAGCGUGCGCAGGCGGUUCGCUAAGACAGAUGUGAAAUCCCCGGGCUUAACCUGGGAACUGCAUUUGUGACUGGCGGGCUAGAGUAUGGCAGAGGGGGGUAGAAUUCCACGUGUAGCAGUGAAAUGCGUAGAGAUGUGGAGGAAUACCGAUGGCGAAGGCAGCCCCCUGGGCCAAUACUGACGCUCAUGCACGAAAGCGUGGGGAGCAAACAGGAUUAGAUACCCGCGUAGUCCCUGUCUCUUAUAC